CUGAGGUUAGAGCUAUGUGCUUGCAGAAUCUCUGAAUGUACAGAAAAUAUGGGGAAGGGAGGAGAAACCAUCUGUAUUGGAGACAGUGGCAAAUUUUCAUUCCCCUUCGAAGAGUAACAUGGUAUGUGUUGUAAUGCUUGAACAAGUUUAGCAUUUUUCUGAAAUGUCUUGACCUGAUUUUUUUUUUCAGGGUACUUUUUGCAAUUUUCCUUACACCUUGCAAUUUGCUAUCAUGUUUUCUGGAAAAAUUAGGUUGAACAGGUUUUAUGCAGACAUAAAAGCUCUCUUGCCUUGGCUUUUAUUUGUUUAUUUUUUGUUGUGUAUGUCAGCCAUUUCUGGUUUCAGAAGGGAAAGUAGGGUAGGUUCUGAUAAGCAGUGAUGGUCUUCCAACAAGGUUUGUUUUCACCACAUUUCCAGACACAUCCAGUUUUGGACAAGCUUUGGAGAAGCAUUCUGAACCAAACUGAAAAAUUCCCCUCACCCUGAACUGGAUAUCAAACUUGAACAAAAGGUGUUACAAAACAUGUUCAAUACUGAUGGUAAUGAUAAAUACUUAUCUCCUUGUUUUCUAACAAAAAGACUUUAGGUAUUAAGCAUGCAUUUAUCCUCAUGAACUUUCUAUUUCUCACCUUCUUUCAAUGCACUGGAAUGUAGUAGAUGUUAUGGAUGCUAUUGACUAUGUAUAUGUCUUUGAAUGGACUGUAUUUAUUGCCUGGUUUUGUUGAAAAUCCAGUUCACAAAUGCUCCAGUCUAGCAAUGGUACGUAGUUACUAAAUUUAAACAUUGGUGUUGAAUUUAAUUAAUCACUUUUUUUGCCAUUCAUAGAGCUGGGUGCAAGGUUUGCCCAUUAUUCAUGUAUCUUUUUCCUCUACCAUGUUUGGAAACAGAGGAUGCAGAGACAGAUGUAAAAUACCAUUCAUUGCUUAACCCAUUGAGAGACAAGUUCUGGAACAUUACCAGGCUUAACGUUUCUAAAACAUUUGCUGUGUGGUAACUUCCUUCCCACCCAUGGCGCUCGUCUGCAGCUGGGCAUGGUCACACUCUGCUCUCUGUCCUGACCAGUGCAGUUCAGCGACCCAACAGACUGAGUAUCUGCAUGGUGAGCUGAGUGCCUCCGAAAGCUCAGCAGUAAAACUUCCUGCGCAUCAAGUGCUGUGAAAAUGUUCUCCCAUGACUCCAGUAGACAAUUUUUUUUUAGUGCAGCUUAGAAGAAAUUACACAGUAGCAAAACAAACCAGGAGAAUCAGUGGCCACAAACCUACAGGUGAUAAUCAAAGAUCAGUGUGCUUGAGAGACGUUUUACAGCGUGUCGAUAUCACCAAGCACACCUCUGUGCUCAUAACUUCAACAGCAAAUACAAAAUGAGACCCAUUCCUAAACUAACUGCUAAGUUUUAUAUUUGGAGGUGAUUGUUCUCUUAAAUGCCGUUCUACCUGGGCUAUCUUCUCCUUCCUAGCUUGUGCAGAAAAAUGCACUCUUGGAUUGAUUAUUUUGUGACCAGAAACCAAACAAUGUUAUGUGAACAGCCUAUGGAAAUAAACUUUUGUGUAAUAAAGUAAAUUGACUG